GAGUUUGAUCCUGGCUCAGGACGAACGCUGGCGGCGGGCUUAACACAUGCAAGUCGAAGGAGAAGGUAGGUGCUUGCACUUACUGGAGACUGGCGGACGGGUGAGUAACGCGUAGAUAACCUGCCUAUAUCUGGGGGAUAACAUUCCGAAAGGGAUGCUAAUACCGCAUAAUGCAGCGGGGCCGCAUGGCCACAGUUGUUAAAGGUUUCGGCCGGAUAUAGAGGGGUCUGCGUACUAUUAGUUAGUUGGUGAGGUAACGGCUUACCAAGGCGAUGAUAGUUAGGGGGUCUGAGAGGAUGAUCCCCCACACUGGGACUGAGACACGGCCCAGACUCCUACGGGAGGCAGCAGUGAGGAAUCUUGCGCAAUGGAGGAAACUCUGACGCAGCCACGCCGCGUGCCGGAAGACGGCCCUAUGGGUUGUAAACGGCUUUUGAAAGGGAAGAACGCCCGGGUUUCGACCUGGGGUGACGGUACCUUUUGAAUAAGCACCGGCUAACUCCGUGCCAGCAGCCGCGGUAAUACGGAGGGUGCAAGCGUUGUCCGGAAUCAUUGGGUGUAAAGGGUGCGUAGGUGGGAGCCUAAGUCUGUGGUGAAAUCUUGCCGCUUAACGGUAAAAUUGCCAUGGAUACUGGGUUUCUUGAGUACAGAAGAGGUCAGUGGAAUUCGUAGUGUAGCGGUGAAAUGCAUAGAUAUUACGAAGAACAUCAGUGGCGAAGGCGGCCGGCUGGGACUGUAACUGACACUGAGGCACGAAAGCGUAGGAGCGAACAGGAUUAGAUACCCUGGUAGUCCACGCUGUAAACGAUGCAUACUAGGUGUUGGCCUUUCGGGGCCAGUGCUGCAGUUAACGCAGUAAGUAUGCCACCUGGGGAGUACGUCGGCACGAUGAAACUCAAAGGAAUUGACGGGGCCCGCACAAGCGGUGGAGCAUGUUGCUUAAUUCGAUGCAACGCGAGGAACCUUACCUGGGCUAAAUCCACAGUGUUACCUCCCGGAAAAGGAGGUCCCUUCGGGCACUAU
rnacentral:rRNA from 1 species